GAUGAACGCUAGCGGCAGGCUUAAUACAUGCAAGUCGAGGGGCAUCAAGGUACACGAAAGUGUAUUGUUGGCGACCGGCGGACGGGUGAGUAAUAGGUAGGUAACCUACCUCAUACUGAGGCAUAGCUGGGAGAAAUUCCAGGUAAUUCCUCAUGAGGUUAUAUGACACAUGUGAUAUAAUCAAAGGUAUCGCAAGGUACUGGUAUGAGAUGGGCUUACUGACCAUUAGCUAGUUGGUGAGAUAAGAGCUCACCAAGGCGAAGAUGGUUAGGGGUUUUGAGAGAGAGAUCCCCACAUUGGAACUGAGAUACGGUCCAGACUCCUACGGGAGGCAGCAGUAGGGAAUAUUGGGCAAUGGGCGGAAGCCUGACCCAGCCAUGCCGCGUGAAGGAAGACGGCCUUAUGGGUUGUAAACUUCUUUACUAUGCGACUAACUAGAUUUACGAGAUAAUUCUAUAGAAUGUAGCAUAGCAAAAAGCACGGA
rnacentral:rRNA from 1 species